CCUACGGGGGGCAGCAGUGGGGAAUAUUGCACAAUGGGGGAAACCCUGAUGCAGCGACGCCGCGUGAGUGAAGAAGUAACUCGUUUUGUAAAGCUCUAUCAGCAGGGAAGAAAAUGACGGUACUUGAGUAAGAAGCCCCGGCUAACUACGUGCCAGCAGCCGCGGUAAUACGUAGGGGGCAAGCGUUAUCCGGAUUUACUGGGUGUAAAGGGAGCGUAGACGGCAGUGCAAGUCUGGAGUGAAAGGCGGGGGCUCAACCCCCGGACUGCUCUGGAAACUGUACGGCUGGAGUGCAGGAGAGGUAAGUGGAAUUCCGAGUGUAGCGGUGAAAUGCGUAGAUAUAAGGAGGAACACCAGUGGCGAAGGCGGCUUACUGGACUGUAACUGACGUUGAGGCUCGAAAGCGUGGGGAGCAAACAGGAUUAGAUACCCGUGUAGUC
rnacentral:rRNA from 1 species